rnacentral:ribozyme from 1 species
UUAUAUAUUUUUUCUUUUCUCCCCAACUUUUUUCUCCCUUUUCCACUGUAUAUUUUGUGUGAUUUUUACGAUAAAACAGGG